rnacentral:ncRNA from 1 species
AUCAGAGGCCCUGGCAAGGGCCUUCGAGCCGCGCUCUAACCUACCCACCUGAGCCGGAUCGUGUCUGUACAGCCCACAAGGCAGUUUGACGAGAUUGCGACUGGAACGAAGUUGUCCCGAGGGACGGAAGCGCAUCAAGAGGCACACGGCAGCACUGUUUACUGCAGCUCGGCAACCACGAGCCACCCUGCAGCGAAUACCUCGCCCACGCCUGCUCACUUCCCCUCUUCGAGCCCCAUCGUUC